GGGAGAGGCCACAACAGUGAGAGGCCCUCGUACCACAAAAAACAAACAAACAAACAAAAAAGAGUAUUACGAUAGAGAGAUUAUCCUAGAUUACCUGGGUGGGCCUUAAACAUCACAAAUGUUCUUAUAAGAAGGAGGCACAAGGAGAUUUCAGACAGAAGAGGAGAAGGCAGUGUGAUCACAGAGGUAGAGAUUGGAGCAAUGUGGCCAUAAGCCAAGGAAUGUCAGCAGCCCCCAGGAGCUGGAGGGGGCAGAGAAUGUGUUUUCCUCAGCCCAGUGAUACUCAUUUUGGACUUUUAGCCUCCAGAACUGUGAGAGAAUGCACUUCUGUUAAGCCACCCAGUUUGUGACAAUCUGUUACAGCAAACAUAGGAAACCAGCCAACAUUUAUUGCCCAUUCAAAUGAUACUAUGUACCAGGCACUGCACUAAGAGUUUUGCAAAGACGAACUCAUUUAAUCUUUCAACGCUUCUGUGAGGUUGGCAUACUCAUCCCCAUUUUACAGAUGAGAAAACUGAGAUAUAAAGAGGUUAAGUAAUUUGCCUGAAGUCACACAGCUGGUAAAUAGAAGAGCUGAAUUCUAAACUUGGGACCCAGGCAGUCUGGCCCUGGGGUCCACAGUGGUCACCACUGCGCUGUACUCCGCACUGUACUGGGAGGGUCCAGGUUAGAACCAAUUUCCCUGGCAUCCCCCAGGAGUCCUGUAAAUCCCACACAGGAGGACACAAGGGCACAGGCAAGGGUGUAAGGUCAUGUCAUCUGCGUCCCACAAGGAAUGUCUGCACGGUCUCCAGCCUUCCUGCCGGUGGCCCUCGCUCUUUCCCUGAAACCAUGAAGGAAUGACCUUCAUCCCUAGUUUCCUAGGAUCCACAGGCAUCUCUCAGCCUUUCAGAUGUUCUCAUUCCUGCUGUAACCUCAGAUCCCAGAUGCUGUGAUCUUACAUUGGUCCCUCCCUGUCUCUAAAUAUUUUGGAUACACAGGGAAGAGAGGGGAGACACCGUUUACUGUUGCUCUCUACUAAGUUUGCUGUGUCAUUUAGCAUUUAUGAGCAAGAAUAUUUAAAAGGUCCUGGAUAUAAAUUGUGAAAUAGAAAUAAGAACUUGGGAGAAGGCUGUCCCUUUAUUCCUGGCAUCUUGAAGAGGUUGUUUGACCUUUUCUUUCCUGCCUGAUCCCUCUUCUCCACUGCUGUCCCUGCAGAGCUGACCUUCAGAGCAAGAAUUGGAUUAAAAAGUCCCCCACUUCCUGUCCCCUUGGCUACCCACAGCUUCCAGCCCAGACCACUGGGUAGCUUUCAUGGGCUCACGCUACCCUUGGAAAAGAGCAGAAGGCCUCCGGCUGUCACCUUGGAUUGCCUUUCAGUGUUGACCCUGAGUCAAAAAGGAGAGGCGGGAGAGUCUUUGGAAGUAGAAGUGGGACAGAUUGUCUUAGUAAAGCUGGAAGUGCUUGCAGUCAGGUGCUGGCUGAUCCUGCAAAAGCUGAGCCAACUCAGGGAAAACCGAAUGCUCUGUGUUCCUCUUCUCAGCCCGACCUUCCUUCUGCUUUCCUCCCUUAACCUGCUUCUGUCACAUAUGCAAGUCAUCUUCCGCUAGUAGUUGUGGCAUCACUGGAGUUUACCAGGGUAACUGCAGUUUGCAGUAUCUUAGGAAACUUAAGUUAGACUGCUGAUUCUCAAGAAGGGUGGGGAGAGUAGCAGGAACCCUUGGGGGCAGGCAGGGGAAAUGAUAGGACAUGUGGCAUUUCCCAGGAGAGGGGAAAGCCCUGGUUUUCUUAAUGCAGUCUAUAGAAAGUACAGUUUGUGUUGAUCAGAAGUGGGAGUUGGUUGAAAAUAGAUUGAGAAACAGUGAAGUAGUUGAUAUAAUACUUUACUACUGGCUCUCAGAAAAGUUUAGAUGAACCAAGAUCCUCUGCCAGCUCCUUCCGUCUUAGAAGAAUUCAGGUCCCAUAGUGAGCAGUGAAUACUUAACAACAGAAGGGAGGAUGGGACCAUGCAAAUGAAGUCUUCUUAGUUUAGCAGGUGUCUUCAGGGUCCUCCUUUUUUUUUUUUUUUUUUUUGCCUUGGGCCCUUGUGAUACCACGGCCCAAAGCCACAGUGAAUUAGCACCUGAGAGUCCCCUUCUGUCUCAAGAAGUCUUUGCCACCGUGCAUAAAGCUGAAAAGCUUGUAUCUUAGUUGGGGACUGUCAAAUGUGCCCAGAAUGCCAAAUGACAGAGACUUAAACACGCAGAGCUUUCUUUUUCUCAUGUCACACGAAGGAAAUAGGGAACCCAAGGCUGGUGCAGCUGCCCAGGAGCAGCCCUCAAAAACACACGCUCCUUCUAGCUUUUCUGUUCUGCCAUCCCUAGAUUUUGGCUUUCUGCUUCGUAAUCUUAAGAAGCAUCUAUAUUCUGAGCAGGAAAACAAGGCGGGGGACGGGACAGAGAGCAAAAGACACAUGAGAGCCAGAUCUAUCCCUUUUAAAACUUUUUUUAAAUAGACUUUAUUUUGUACAGUAGUUUUAGGUUCACAGCGAAAUUGAGCAGAAGGUACAGAGAUAAACCACACACCCCACACACGCGUAGUUUCCCCCAUUGUUGACAUUCCCCACCAGAGUGGUACAUUUGUUGCAGUUAAUGAACCCGCACAUCAUUAUCACCCAAUCUACCCCUUUUUGAAUCAGGAAAAUUAUAGCUUUUCUAGAAGCCCUACCCAGCCAAUUUCUGCCUAGUUCUCAUUGGCUAGCACUGUAUCUCAUGACAACUCCUGGCUACAAGGGCAUCUGGGAAGAUGAUUAUUAACUGAGCACUUUCCCAAUCUGACAAAAUUGGGUUAGGAAGAAGGAGAGAGUACCAAAAUUAUAUAAAUCUGGAAUAGCAAAUAUGGAGAGGAAGAAUACUUCUAAGACUAUAAUAUCUAUCAUGGCCAUAAAAAGGUGUGGAAUUUUAGGGAGGGUUUUUAGAAAUUGUUUUGAUUGAAGGGUAACGUAUACACAAUAAAGAGUACCAAUCUUGGGGGUAAGCUGAUGACUUUUAACAUAUAUAUACAUUUGUGUGACCACUUGACUGGAGGAAGAUAGAGACCAUUUUCAGCACCUUUAUAAGUCCCCUCAUGCCCACCUCAGUUAGCAACCCUCCCACCCCUGAGAUACCCACUAUUCCAGCUUCUACCACUUAGAGACGGAUAUUAACCAUCAUAAAUGUUGGAAGGAAAACAGAUGAUGGAUGGAGAAGAACAAAAGGGAAGAAUAAGGCCAAAUAAAUGGCUGCUUUUGUGAUAUCGCUGCUCUCCUUUGCCUCCUAAAUUAUUCUAAUUCCAUUUUGAAAAUGGAAUUUUAAAUGUCAUCAGAAAAAGUCAUCAAAAACUGAAGACUGAAAUUUUAGUUUUCUGUAAAGUUGAUAUAUGCUGAAACUUCAAUCAGUUAGGACUGGAUUCUAUUGCACAUAAUGUAACAACCCUAGGCAAUUAAUAGUGGUGUAAAUGAGAUAGAAUUAUAUUUCUCUGUCACAUAAAAGCAGCCUGAAGGUAUGUAGUCGAGGACUGUGCUUGGCAGCCCCAGGAAUACUUCGGAGCUCUCUAGGCCUCUGCUCUUCCAGUCCUAGGUGGCCUUCCUCCUCGUGGUCAAAUAUGCAACCUGGAACUCCAGCCAUCACAUCUAUGUUCCUGGCAACAGAAUAGAGGAAGGGAAGAAGCGUUCACUCCUUCUCAAUUUAACAGACGUCUUAGAAGUUCCACAUAACACUUCUGCUAAUAACUCACUGACAGGAACUUAAGUCACAGGACCACACCACCUGCAAAGAGGUCUGGGAAAGUGGUCUUUUAGCUGGGUGCAAUGUGCUGUUAAAAAUCGGACUUUUUAAUAAGCGGAAAAACUGGUAGUCUCUUCCAAAUUGCACUUCUGCAGCUUUUGCAGGUGUCAUCUGUUUCUCGGUCAAAUAACCUAAGCACAGCACUGUAGGAUAGGAGCCAGGAGCCUGGCCACUGAAGCAGCAGCCAUCCCACGUGGUUGGUGGAGGGACAGCCCCAGUUGUCCAGGAAAGCCACGCUGCUGUAUCCUCAGUGCCCAGUCCAGCUGAGAACCGUGGGCCACAGAGCGUGCUGCUGUGGAAGCAGAGGUGAGACUAGGGCUCAGCUCCUGCCACUAACUUUGCCCUUGGAGCGUCCAGGGAAAGCAAAGCUCCAAUUUACCCUGCUCGACAGGCUCCAGCUGCUCUGCCCAGGGGCCCAUCUGCCUCCUACCUCAUCCUGACACCUCAGACUUGCCGCUUCUACCUUUCCCGGACAAGAAGUGUUCCUACAAGGAUUUGGAAGUUUCAGAAGUGCCCUCCUGCCACAUGAAGGUUCUAUGCCUGGUUUCUGUGGUACCUCCUUCCUUCUCUCCAGCGUCAUGCGCCCCGGACAGCUGUAGCUUCCCCAGAUGCUCCCACAAGUCUCUUGGAUCAGGAAACUGAGGGCAAGGUGACAACCAGAUCAUGCGUUUCACCUCUCCGUGAAUGAAAGGGGCUGGAGCACCAAACAAGACAGACAUCGUUCUCGCCUUCAUGGGAUUUACAUUCCAGUUGGUGGGGAUAGGGGGAGAAUACAACAGUAUCUACGUGAAUAUAGAGGAUAUAGAUAUAUAUUGUGUGGCACAUUCUAUGAAGGAAAUAAAAUCGGAUGGUACAAUA